rnacentral:snoRNA from 1 species
AGACCAUGAUGAGGACAAUGUUGACGUAAUUCUUUGUAUCUUUCCUAAGCUUCGUACAAUAACUCAAAAUCUUGCUACAUGAAUGAUGUAAUAUCAUUCCUCAUUUU